GGCGGCAUGCCUUACACAUGCAAGUCGAACGGCAGCACGGGGGCAACCCUGGUGGCGAGUGGCGAACGGGUGAGUAAUACAUCGGAACGUGUCCUGUAGUGGGGGAUAGCCCGGCGAAAGCCGGAUUAAUACCGCAUACGCUCUGCGGAGGAAAGCGGGGGAUCCUUCGGGACCUCGCGCUACAGGGGCGGCCGAUGGCAGAUUAGCUAGUUGGUGGGGUAAAGGCCUACCAAGGCGACGAUCUGUAGCUGGUCUGAGAGGACGACCAGCCACACUGGGACUGAGACACGGCCCAGACUCCUACGGGAGGCAGCAGUGGGGAAUUUUGGACAAUGGGGGAAACCCUGAUCCAGCAAUGCCGCGUGUGUGAAGAAGGCCUUCGGGUUGUAAAGCACUUUUGUCCGGAAAGAAAACCGCCUGGUUAAUACCUGGGCGGGAUGACGGUACCGGAAGAAUAAGCACCGGCUAACUACGUGCCAGCAGCCGCGGUAAUACGUAGGGUGCAAGCG
rnacentral:rRNA from 1 species